rnacentral:piRNA from 1 species
UCCAACGACUGUCCAGGAUGAGGCCGA